rnacentral:tRNA from 1 species
UCCCUGGUGGUUCAAUGGUUAAUACCCUGUACUCCCAAUGCAGGAGCCUGGGUUCAAUCCCCGGUCAGGGAA